rnacentral:rRNA from 1 species
ACUCAAAGGAAUUGACGGGGGCCCGCACAAGCGGUGGAGCAUGUGGUUUAAUUCGACGCAACGCGUAGAACCUUACCAGGGCUUGACAUCCCUCUGGCGGGCAUAGAGAUAUGCCAUCCCUUCGGGGCAGAGGAGACAGGUGGUGCAUGGUUGUCGUCAGCUCGUGUCGUGAGAUGUUGGGUUAAGUCCCGCAACGAGCGCAACCCCUACGAUUGGUUGCCAUCAUUAAGUUGGGCACUUUAAUCGGACUGCCGGUGAGAAACCGGAGGAAGGUGGGGAUGACGUCAAAUCAUCAUGCCCCUUAUGUCCUGGGCUACACACGUGCUACAAUGGUUGGUACAGAGGGAAGCGAAGGAGCGAUCUGGAGCGGAUCCCAAAAAGCCAGUCAUAGUUCGGAUCGCAGGCUGCAACUCGCCUGCGUGAAGCAGGAAUCGCUAGUAAUCACGGGUCAGCAUACCGUGGUGAAUACGUUCCCGGGCCUUGUACACACCGCCCGU